UUAAAUCAGUUAUGGUUCCUUGGAUCGUACUCCGCUACUUGGACAACUGUGGCAAUUCUAGAGCUAAUACAUGCAGCAGAGCUCCGACCUUCGGGGACGAGCGCUUUUAUUAGACCAAGACCGACCGGGCCUCGUGUCCGUCGAGCGUGGUGACUCUGUAUAACUUUGGGCUGAUCGCACGGGCUCGUCCCGGCGACGUAUCCUUCAAGUAUCUGCCUUAUCAACUGUCGAUGGUAGGUUACUUGCCUACCAUGGUCGUGACGGGUAACGGGGAAUCAGGGUUCGAUUCCGGAGAGGGAGCCUGAGAAACGGCUACCACAUCCAAGGAAGGCAGCAGGCGCGCAAAUUACCCACUCCCGGCACGGGGAGGUAGUGACGAAAAAUAACAAUACGGGACUCUUUUGAGACCCCGUAAUUGGAAUGAGUACACUCUAAGCCCUUU
rnacentral:rRNA from 1 species